AUGGACAAACCCCUGAGCCUGCUCAUCCUUUGGUUACAGCUAGACUGGGUGAGUGGUAAACAGGAGGUGGAGCAGAGUCCUGAAGCUCUGAGUGCCCGAGAGGGAGAAAUAUCGGCUCUCAACUGCAGCUAUACCGAUAGUGCCAUUUUCUCCCUUCAGUGGUUUAAGCAGGACCCUGGGAAAGGGCUCAUUUCUCUGCUGCUACUUCGGUCAAAUCAGAGAGAGCAAACGAGUGGAAGAAUUAAAGCCUCGUUGGAUAAAUCAUCAAGACGUAGUACUCUAUAUAUUGCAACUUCUCAGCCCAGUGACUCAGCCACCUACCUCUGUGCUGUGAGGCACAGUGCACAACGGGCACCUGUCACCAACACCCAAACUCUGCAGCUGGCGCUCCAACUACAUGUCCUAUCUUGA